GUCUUUGUAGCUCAGCCGAUAGAACAGCAGUCUUGUGAGCUCAAGGCCAUCAGUUCAAGUCUGACCUAAGACA